GAUGAACGCUGGCGGCGUGCCUAACACAUGCAAGUCGAGCGGACAGACGAUGCGCUUGCGCCUUUGACGUUAGCGGCGGGCGGGUGAGUCACACGUGGAUACCCUACUUAUAUGUCUGGGAUCAUUACGGGAGACCGGAUACAAUAUCGGAUCAUAUGUUGAACCGCAGGGAUCAUUAGAGCUUGCCGGCUUUGGUGAUUCUAAGAGCUGGUUCCGAGCCGGAUUAGCUAGUUGGUAGGGUAACGGCCUACCAAGGCUACGAUGCGUAGCUGAGCUGAGAGGAUGAUCAGCCACACUGGAACUGAGACACGGUCCAGACUCCUACGGGAGGCAGCAGUGGGGAAUCUUGGGCAAUGGGCGAAAGCCUGACGCAGCCAGGCCGCGUGAGUGAAGAAGGUCUUCGGAUCGUAAAGCACUGUUAUUAGGGAAGAACAGCUGUAUGAGAAACCCUGGACGUCUUGACGGUACCUAAUCAAUAAGCAACGGCUAACUACGUG
rnacentral:rRNA from 1 species